CCCAAGAUGUCUAGAGCUUUUGAGAGCUUUUAACUACAACUUCAUCAGUGGCUGUAUGCUGUAUACAAUUACCAUGUAAAUUGGAACACCUCCAUUAACAGCAGAAAAACACAGCUCUGAUUGUUCCACCUAAUGAGCUAGCAAAGGCAGAUCCUCAGAGAGCACAGCGAACUGACAACAGCACACAAUAAUUAAACAGGUAGUACUGUUUGCAGUCACAUAUACCUCUUAUUCCUGAUUAGGAUGACAGAGUGUUCUUGUCCAUCACUGUAUGUUGCAUUAGCAGACCGAAGAAUUACUUUUCUAGUACUUGCUCUGUCUCCAGCAUUAACAUGCACUGCAAGAUGACCGUCGAUCAGCGUGAUGGAAAAGGCCAAAUGUGCUUGUCUACGUCGUCGCUUUUCCAGUCCCCUGCUGAGUCCAGCAAGGAUGAUGCCAUUGCUGUUCUUUGUAGCAAAAGUUGCCAUCAGUUCCGAUUCUGGGCUUAAGGACUUAGGUACCAACUCAAUAUAUCCAUUGUUCAAGAUGUUCACACUACGAAUAGGCUAUUUUAUGAGGAAGAGAAAUGAUUACUGAGUUUGCCCCUACAUAGCACCCAGUGAGAAAAAAAAAGUAUAGAUUAGAUUAUCUUAGAAUUUUUCAAGAUAAACCCUUUUUACCUCACUAUAUUCUUUCACAAACAUUACUAUUCAUUGUUCAAUAACAAUAAAGAUCAUGUCAGAAAACCCAAAAGUCUCCUACCUCCAAUACACAGCCUUUUCUUACUCCAUAUGAAUUUCUAAGCAAGUCAAAGGUUGAACGGGAUAUUUCUAGAUUCUUGAUACAUCCUAUGUACAUUCUACUAUUAAGACCUUUCCUGAAACACAAAACAAGGGUUUUUUUCCAAGGAGCAGUAUUUGGAAUCUCCUAGGAGAAAAGAUUAAGUUUUCUUCAAUAAGAAAGAGAGAUCUGUUUUAAAGAAUGCAGUCACCCCAGUAAAAGUGCAAACAGCAGUAAUCUGGGUUUUUACUCUUAGCAGAUAUUAAUUCUGAUCUUAAAAAGAGUCAGAUAACAUUGUCCCCAUAUGGAAACAUAUAAUUGUGUAGUGCUGUGUUGCCAGGCCAGGUCAUUUUCCAAAACUGAGGUGAAUCCUCAGCUGAAAUGUAACGGCUUGUAUGAGAGAGGGUAACUGUAGCUCUCUACUACCUAGCAAUUCUUUUUCAUUUCUUAAGUCUGGAGGAUCCCUAAUUUGGUUCCAGAUUUAACUCAGAGAAAUCUAAGGCUGUCCUGCCAUAAUCCCUUACAG
rnacentral:lncRNA from 1 species